UACGGAGGAUGCAAGCGUUAUCCGGAAUUAUUGGGCGUAAAGCGUCCGCAGGUGGUUUUACAAGUCUGCUGUCAAAGCGCGGAGCUUAACUUCGUAUCGGCAGUGGAAACUACAUAGCUAGAGUGCGGUAGGGGCAGAGGGAAUUCCUGGUGUAGCGGUGAAAUGCGUAGAGAUCAGGAAGAACACCGGUGGCGAAAGCGCUCUGCUAGGCCGCAACUGACACUGAGGGACGAAAGCUAGGGGAGCGAACGGG
rnacentral:rRNA from 1 species